rnacentral:rRNA from 1 species
AUGAACGCUAGCUACAGGCUUAACACAUGCAAGUCGAGGGGCAGCAUGGUCUUAGCUUGCUAAGGCCGAUGGCGACCGGCGCACGGGUGAGUAACACGUAUCCAACCUGCCGUCUACUCUUGGACAGCCUUCUGAAAGGAAGAUUAAUACAAGAUGGCAUCAUGAGUCCGCAUGUUCACAUGAUUAAAGGUAUUCCGGUAGACGAUGGGGAUGCGUUCCAUUAGAUAGUAGGCGGGGUAACGGCCCACCUAGUCUUCGAUGGAUAGGGGUUCUGAGAGGAAGGUCCCCCACAUUGGAACUGAGACACGGUCCAAACUCCUACGGGAGGCAGCAGUGAGGAAUAUUGGUCAAUGGGCGAGAGCCUGAACCAGCCAAGUAGCGUGAAGGAUGACUGCCCUAUGGGUUGUAAACUUCUUUUAUAAAGGAAUAAAGUCGGGUAUGGAUACCCGUUUGCAUGUACUUUAUGAAUAAGGAUCGGCUAACUCCGUGCCAGCAGCCGCGGUAAUACGGAGGAUCCGAGCGUUAUCCGGAUUUAUUGGGUUUAAAGGGAGCGUAGAUGGAUGUUUAAGUCAGUUGUGAAAGUUUGCGGCUCAACCGUAAAAUUGCAGUUGAUACUGGAUAUCUUGAGUGCAGUUGAGGCAGGCGGAAUUCGUGGUGUAGCGGUGAAAUGCUUAGAUAUCGCGAAGAACUCCGAUUGCGAAGGCAGCCUGCUAAGCUGCAACUGACAUUGAGGCUCGAAAGUGUGGGUAUCAAACAGGAUUAGAUACCCUGGUAGUCCACACGGUAAACGAUGAAUACUCGCUGUUUGCGAUAUACAGCAAGCGGCCAAGCGAAAGCGUUAAGUAUUCCACCUGGGGAGUACACCGGCAACGGUGAAACUCAAAGGAAUUGACGGGGGCCCGCACAAGCGGAGGAACAUGUGGUUUAAUUCGAUGAUACGCGAGGAACCUUACCCGGGCUUAAAUUGCAGAUGAAUUACGGUGAAAGCCGUAAGCCGCAAGGCAUCUGUGAAGGUGCUGCAUGGUUGUCGUCAGCUCGUGCCGUGAGGUGUCGGCUUAAGUGCCAUAACGAGCGCAACCCUUGUUGUCAGUUACUAACAGGUUCCGCUGAGGACUCUGACAAGACUGCCAUCGUAAGAUGUGAGGAAGGUGGGGAUGACGUCAAAUCAGCACGGCCCUUACGUCCGGGGCUACACACGUGUUACAAUGGGGGGUACAGAGGGCCGCUACCACGCGAGUGGAUGCCAAUCCCCAAAACCUCUCUCAGUUCGGACUGGAGUCUGCAACCCGACUCCACGAAGCUGGAUUCGCUAGUAAUCGCGCAUCAGCCACGGCGCGGUGAAUACGUUCCCGGGCCUUGUACACACCGCCCGUCAAGCCAUGGGAGCCGGGGGUACCUGAAGUGCGUAACCGCGAGGAGCGCCCUAGGGUAAAACUGGUGACUGGGGCU